rnacentral:rRNA from 1 species
UACGUAGGUGACAAGCGUUGUCCGGAUUUACUGGGCGUAAAGAGCGCGCAGGCGGUCGAUCAAGUCGAGUGUGAAAGCCCCCGGCUCAACUGGGGAGGGUCGUUCGAUACUGAUCGACUCGAAGGCAGGAGAGGGUAGUGGAAUUCCCGGUGUAGUGGUGAAAUGCGUAGAUAUCGGGAGGAACACCAGUGGCGAAGGCGACUACCUGGCCUGUAAUUGACGCUGAGGCGCGAAAGCUAGGGGAGCAAACGGG